GCGGAAUUAGUUUAGUGGUAGAACUAGUGCUUCCCAAGCAUUGGGCAGGAGUUCGAUUCUCCUAUUCCGCA
rnacentral:tRNA from 1 species